UCGCCUGUCUCGCACGAAACCCCCUGCAGUCUUCAAUUUCUUCUUUUCCUUUGACCGGUCUCCUCUUAUCACUUUCUCUAUUUUUCUUCUUCCAUACGUUGCCCACCGAAGCUUCUGCAUCUCUCUCUCCGCUCAGCCCUCAUCCCACGAAGCUGCUUCUCCACGUUGCCACUCGGCCGCAUCUGCUCUUUGUUUGGUCAAUGAAACCAGCCGCUUCACCAUCUGGUAGACUGAAGCCAGCGAAGCCGGAGCCGCACGCGUCUUCCCCAGCUCAGCGCUGCUUCCUCUCCAUCGCGUGCCUUCAGUCCACGCUCGAUCGACCUUUGCUGCUUUUGCUCGGCCCAUCACCCCACGCCCUCUGCCCCUCACGCUGCUGCUCCACAGAUCUUUGCCCCCACCAAUUUGGUGCUAGCGAAGCCACCCAGGCCAGUCAACCCAGCAGCAAACCAAAGACCGCCCCUGCCAUCGAACAGCGAGCUCCCAUCUUCGUCCGCUUCUCCCUCUCGUGAAGCAGAAUCAUCGCCCACCGAAGCCCCACGCUGCCAGCUCAUGCCAUUCUCCAGCUCAGUCAACCGAAGCAGCUCUUGCGCCAUCUUCAGUCCACGUCUCCAGCAAAACCAUCUCCGCCGAGGCAAGUUUCGAAGCCCAUCUUCAAUCAGCAGCCCACAGUUUGGCCAGAAGCCCAGUCCGUCAGGCCAGUGUGCAUUUCUUUUGCUCGUGGACCAACCACAGCGAGCCCACUCUGAUUUUUCAGCGGCCCAAUCCAACAGUUCAGCCCACGUGGAGCUCGACCCAUCUUUAGCACUAUCAGCCCAGCAAGCCUAACUUGUUUGCAGCCCAGUUUUGAGGCCCAAUUUCUAGCAAAUCAAUUGAAGUCAGGCCCACCGAAUUAGUGGACUUAGCCCAGCUCGAGCAGCGAGCUUGUAGGCCGAUUUCGGCCCCAAUUUGAUCUCGGUUGGUAGACCCGCUUUGAAGAGAAUCGAGUCUUGUUGCGUGCUCGUCGAUUUGAUCCAAUCAAAUCUUAAAUCAAGUCCUUGGAUGCAGUAGACUUGGAUUUUGAAGAUCUCGAAAGUCUAGUGCAGUCUGCCAAAGGCUCCAGUUGAAGUGUAAGAGGACUGUAAGAGGAUGAUGGAGAGGAGUACAGGAACCCGUAGUUUGUAGAACCCCACUCUUGUUUGUAGACCUUAUUUUUACAUUGGCUUAAGUUGAAUUUGACUUAAUAGUUCACCUUGUAUAUAUAGAUGCACUGGUUUGCAAUGUAUAUAUGAGUGAACGUUUUAAAGGUUUGAAAUUUAAUCCUACUAUGUUAUCCCAAUGUUUUAUUGUCUGGGGAUAAUUUAUAUGUUUCCGCAUGUGCUUAAUAUAUGAAAUGGUCGGCGAUGUGUCCUGGGACGUCGCUAUUAAUC